ensembl:lncRNA
CUGAAACAACUUAUCGAUUUAAUCGAUUAUAAUCGAUUAUUAAAAUAGUUAACAACUUUUUUAGUCAUCGAUUAGUUGUUUAAUAAUCAUAUUUUACCGCAUAAAGUCUAUUUUUACCACAAUCUGACAUCGGUUACAAUCUGUUAAAUUUGCCGCCAGUGUGUGGCAGUAAUGAGCCACUGAUCUACCAGUGGAGCCGUAGAAGAAGAAAUGAGCCAAUGAGUGCCCUCGGUUUUCAUGACGUAUCACGUUACUGACGCUCAUCUUGCUGUGAGAGAUGGCGGAACAAGAAGAAAUACGGAAGAAAAAUAGAAGCGACAAAACUGAAGAGAAACCCCGGACAAAAACCUCACGAGUAUGGGAGCACAUUUGAGACGAAAGCAUGUGGGGGCUGAUGCAGCAGAGGAAGAGCACCGCGGUCAAGUGAGCCGUCAUUUGGAAGAGCCAGCCCGAAAAAAACAAGCAACGAUGGACAACUACAUGGGGAACAAGACACUCACCCCCCAGCAAUUCAUACCACUUACAAACUCUAUUCUAAACAUGCUGGUAAAAGACAUGAGGCCACUACCCAUGGUGGAAGGAGCAGGCUUCCAGCUAAUGCUAAAAAAUUAUUCUGGACUGAUAUUUUGCACUGUUUAGCUCAUUUUAUACUGCUGACUGUUCAUGUGCAAUAAAAUAGAUUGCAGUCAACUGCACACUUUUCUUAUAUUUUUUUUCUUAACUGAAAUGCAUCCAUCACUUGUAUAGGUUAAAUAGCUAAACAAUAAUGAACCGAUUAAUCGAUUAAUCGAAAAAAUAAUCAACAGAUUAAUCGAUUAUGAAAAUAAUCGUUAGUUGCAGCCCUAGUUUAGUGUGGCAAGGUGGAGAAACGAGGGCCCAGGCGAGAUUUGAUCCCCAGACUCCCGGGUGACAGUCAUGCGUGCUAACCGUUCAGCCAAAGGGACAUCCCCUUGGCCAAGUAACCAGGGCUCAUGAUCAAUCGGGACACAGUGACAGGACGCUCACACUGCAACAUCAGCACCAAUUUUCGAAGUACUAAACAACCAAAUGAAAGGCAGUCAAACUUUCUUGGAUUACCUUUUCAAAACUAUUGCUGUGCUGCAGAGGGAUUCUGAGUGGUUCUGGUUCAGUUCCGUAGGCCGUCUGCAUCCAGAAAUGGCCCUGCUGCACAGAAGAAACGCAGACCCUCAGCCUGCUGUUUGUUUAUGUGUGUAUAUGUGUGUGUGACAAGCAUGACUGACAGCAUAGUGUACACAGAUUCUUCAGAAAUGAGUUUGUUAACUACAUUAAUCAACCGAUGGCCAUUGAAGGGACUUUACGGAGUUUUGAAUUUUUAUGCUCGCGAUUGCCCCCUCAGGCCAAAAGCGUGACGGCAGCUUCAAUGGUAGGCUCGUGCACGAGGCGCGCAUGCUGUACGUGCACACUCCUUAACGAAAAUAACAGCUGAGACAGUCCCGUGUGUGUGUGUGUGGCCCGGAGGACAGAGGACAGGAGAACGCGCAGCUAAUUAAUUAAAUAAUUUGGUUCUGUACCUUUCUCUUCAGCACAGCCGACAAAGGUUUAAUUUGGGUCAGUCCUCCUGCAUGCUCAGAUCAUGCCCUUCCCUUGCUUGAAAAAUUGUUCCAAAAUGAAAGUUGAACCCAUAUCUUUUUUUACCUGUGAAUUCAAUGCCGUUCGGCGAGUCUCAAAUAAAAAUUUGGGCAUCUUACUGUAAAAAAAAUACCAUUAAUGUAAAAAAGAAACUCUAAAUAAACUAUGUUCACAUCCAGAAACAAACCCAGGUCUUCUGCAAAGGGGGAGAACGCCGUCUUACUGGGUGAGCUAUAGCAUCAGUGACAUAUUUUUUAUCUGUAAUAUUGAUAUCCUUGAUGUAACCGGAUUACAGGAUACAAUAAGAUAAUUAAAAGAAAAAAUAAACAAAUGGGCCAAUAAUUAGGUUCGGGGAGAAUUGGAGGUUGUUUAAGAAUGACUGGAGUCACGGGUAUAGCAUGAAACGGUUUAUAUACUAAAUUUUAAUAAUAAUGGGAAAUAUAACACAUAAAGAUAACACACAAAAACAGAUGAAAACAAUCGACAAUAGUAAAAUG